ACUGUCCGGAGCCGAUUGUGAAAUCAGCGAUCACCUGCCUCGACACAACGCAGAGACGAUGCAGAGGGAUGCUCAAGCUACGCCCACCGCUAUCGCAAGAGACGCGAAUGAAGAAACCUCCAAGAAACUAUAAAAGAGACUGAACAAGGGGAGUGGGGUGUGGGGCACUGCAGUGUGGGACACUGCAGGAGGGGCGGUUUGGAGACCCCUACCCACCCAGCGCUGUUUUGCUUGCUACUGCUUGCUGUAAUUAAUAAAAUUCUAAUUGACCUUAAAAAGGCUGAAUCAAAUUAUUCGCCUCAAUUUAUCACAAUUUGGUGCUGUGACUCGGAUAAAGGAAACCCGGGAGGGAGGCCCCACUAGGGUGAGGCGCCCCACCGCCUUUUUGCGGUGGACCUAAGGGGGGGCUUCCUCCUUGGGCCUUUACCGACGAACCUAAAACUCAGUAGCAAGCAAAGGUACCCCCGUUAAUCUUUGUGCACGAAGAACCGCGGAAGAGUGAACACGCAGGAAGCGGAGCUUUUCUUAGCUUCUUUUGCAGACACAGGCUAAGGAUGUUGGGGGAUGGCCGGAGCUGAUUGUGAAAUCAGCGACUACCGGGCGGCGGUCACCGGAGUGGACGGCGUGGGAGUGCUCCGGGUACGCCCAUCACUGUCCGGAGCCGAUUGUGAAAUCAGCGAUCACCUGCCUCGACACAACGCAGAGACGAUGCAGAGGGAUGCUCAAGCUACGCCCACCGCUAUCGCAAGAGACGCGAAUGAAGAAACCUCCAAGAAACUAUAAAAGAGACUGAACAAGGGGAGUGGGGUGUGGGGCACUGCAGUGUGGGACACUGCAGGAGGGGCGGUUUGGAGACCCCUACCCACCCAGCGCUGUUUUGCUUGCUACUGCUUGCUGUAAUUAAUAAAAUUCUAAUUGACCUUAAAAA